rnacentral:pre_miRNA from 1 species
UCAGUGACCAAGGGCGAGUGCAGCAUUAUUGAUAGGCUGCUUUCCUUUCGGUGGCUGGGG